rnacentral:rRNA from 1 species
GACGAACGCUGGCGGCGUGCUUAACACAUGCAAGUCGAACGGAAAGGCCCUGCUUUUGUGGGGUGCUCGAGUGGCGAACGGGUGAGUAACACGUGAGUAACCUGCCCUUGACUUUGGGAUAACUUCAGGAAACUGGGGCUAAUACCGGAUAGGAGCUCCUGCCGCAUGGUGGGGGUUGGAAAGUUUCGGCGGUUGGGGAUGGACUCGCGGCUUAUCAGCUUGUUGGUGGGGUAGUGGCUUACCAAGGGUUGGAAGGGUAGCCGGCCUGGGAGGGUGACCGGCGUCAGUGGGACUGGGAUACGGCCCAGACUCCGACGGGAGGCAGCAGUGGGGAAUAUUGCACAAUGGGCGGAAGCCUGAUGCAGCAACGCCGCGUGCGGGAUGGCGGCCUUCGGGUUGUAAACCGCAUUCGCCUGUGACGAAGCGGGAGUGACGGUAAUGGGUAAAGAAGCACCGGCUAACUACGUG